rnacentral:rRNA from 1 species
AUUGAACGCUGGCGGCAGGCUUAACACAUGCCAGUCGAGCGAGCGGCGGACGGGUGAGUAAUGUCUGGGAAACUGCCUGAUGGCGGGGGAUAACUACUGGAAACGGUAGCUAAUACCGCUUACCAUCAUAUUUGCCCUGAUGGGAUUCGCUAGUAGGUGGGGUAAUGGCUCACCUAGGCGACGAGCCCUCGCUGGUCUGAGAGGAUGACCUGCCACACUGGAACUGAGACACGGUCCAGACUCCUACGGGAGGCAGCAGUGGGGAAUAUUGCACAAUGGGCGCAAGCCUGAUGCAGCCAUGCCGCGUGUGUGAAGAAGGCCUUCGGGUUGUAAAGCACUUUCAGCGAGGAGGCGUUACUCGCAGAAGAAGCACCGGCUAACUCCGUGCCAGCAGCCGCGGUAAUUC